rnacentral:rRNA from 1 species
CACUGCGAGUGGUACAUCCCUCCCAUCGUGUUAGGAGUUGCGGCGAAGACGGACGGACUUAAAUUCACUACCGCGCCCGCAGGUAAACGUAUUUAGGGGCCAUUGAGACGGACGGACGGUCACGGUCAUCCACAUCGCGGUGACGUGUUGUCCCUAUAAAAGUGACAAAACUGGGCAGACUAAUUCAAAUCGUACUAAACUCCCCAUGCGCUGCUGCUACUACGACUGGACUGGACUGAGCAUGUCUACCAGUCAGGGUUGUAGCUAGGUUUGUUUAGUUCAGUCGAUCACGUUUCGAACGGUGUAUCGAUUCCGCUACCUCAGUUCGAAUCGAUACCGCUGCUGCGGCGGCGGGGUGGCCGGCGGCGAACACGAGAAUAGGGACGACGACGAGGAGGAGGUAGGGAAGAAGAGGCGGCGUCGCGGCAGAUAGUGGUGGUUUCGGCACGGCGCCGACGGGCCAAAGUCGCCUGGGGACGGGAAGAGGGAGCUUUGUCCCAUGCACCCCGACCUGCUGCCGCGGGUUGAGAAGAUGAUGAAGUAGGUCAGCCUCUUGCUGGGCCUCCUCCUGGGGCAGGAAGAGACCGAGUGCCCGCCCGGGCCAACGAGGCGGGAGAGUCCGGAGCGGAUGCUCUAGCCGGGAAAGUUGAAACUGAAGGUACCGAUGUACCCUCCGGACGGAUGAGACGAGAUGGUCGGUAGCAGAACCCGUUUCCAAUCGUUGUAGUAGAAGCACCUAAGAGGCCAUCCUUGUCCGAAGAGUAUACGCUGGCCUCUGUUCUCUUGGUAUGUUUCACUGUGUUAACAACAAGUCGUCGACGUGUAAAAGGAACUUUGCACCAAACUACUUGUAGGCGUCAAGAACGGUUUAGGUGAGAUAUAAAGUCCACUAAGUAUAUCGCCGAAUUAGUAUGGAAGAGAACGAUACUUUUAACGAUUUCCCUAUCUUGAGCCGUUACUCGCUGAGUAAUUAGAGUUCCCACAGUAACGACCGUUAGGUAAUUGGCUAUUGUGCUGCUGGAAGUUGCGAGCUCAAGGUAAAGAAGUACCCUACCCUUAAUAUGGUCUACUUGAGAUGCUCCGACGAGCACUUUCGACGCCCCCCCUUAUGGCAACCCGUAGCUUGCGGGUGACACGGCUAAGGGAGGUUCGGUAGGUUCUCACGUACUCCCCAAAUUUGUGACAUGUGCAGAACCUCGGUCGCACACUUCUUAUAGGUUCGGAGUGGUAAGUGUUCGUCGUCGGCAACGUUCUGGUACCCUCCUUUUACGAUUGUCUCAGGCGUAAAAGCAGGCACACGUCCUUACGGUGUAUGAAGGAUAGGCUCAAUACCUGUUUACUGCUUCGACAUUCCCUCUCAGACCCAUAAGUGUUCCCUUGUCAAGGUAGUACCGAUGCUACACUACAGUUAGAUGGAAUGUGUGUACUUUAGUGGUCGCGCCAUCUACUAGUACGUCGGGACUAAUGAUCUCCUAUGGCCCGAUACUAUAUAUCACCUCUGGUACUGGGAUUUCAUAGAAUACAACUGUGGGUUCGUACCUAGUCUGCUGAAUUCGACGGGUAGUGUCUAGGAACCGCUGGUACCGUACACCUGCUGGUUUAGCACCCUAUGUGUUCUUGAAAGAGAUUGUUAGACUGUAUGCGUUGACAUUUCCCACGGCCUGUGUGUCGGGGUCUCAUGUACGGUUCCCUCACAGAACGAUACUAGCUAUCUACCGAAAGGCCACUCGGAGAGACUCGUCAGUUGAUUGCAACGCGGUGUACGCUUCCAACUUGAUCCUAAUAAAGUUUUGACGCUGUGGAUAAUACCUAGCUUUCAUCAUUAUCUAUUCUCUUAUGUAUACAUUCUACUUUCUACAGCAACAUAUACACACAACAUAACUCCGAAAGAUAACUAGAAUUAAUUCGAACACCUCCCUGACCGAACUCUUAAGGCCACUUUUAUUUAUUCGAGGAUACGCCUUUUCGAGAGCUUAUACCAAAGAAAAAACGGGAUAAAAAAAAUCUAAUACUCUAAACCCACCCAGAUAAAAGUACUACUCGAAUACGUUUUCAGACAUUACCACGGCUACACAUUACGAUUAGUUCCCUAAAUCGAUCCGGACUAACUCAUAUUCUCGACUUC